AAACUUUCAACAACGGAUCUCUUGGUUCUGGCAUCGAUGAAGAACGCAGCGAAAUGCGAUAAGUAAUGUGAAUUGCAGAAUUCAGUGAAUCAUCGAAUCUUUGAACGCACAUUGCGCCCUCUGGUAUUCCGGGGGGCAUGCCUGUUCGAGCGUCAUUACAACCCUCAAG
rnacentral:rRNA from 14 species